AGUGAACGCUGGCGGCAGGCCUAAUACAUGCAAGUCGAGCGGACGCACGGGAGACUUUCCCCUCUGGGUGUCGCGUCGGGGGCGUGAGUGGCACGUAUCUGAAUCAGCUCAGUCGUUGGGGUAAACGCAGGGAAACUUACGCUAUAACCGCUUACAUCCUGCAGCUGAAGGAGGGGGAGUGCAAGACCUCCUUCGUGUGCCUGAUACGUGGUUCCAGGUCGCAUUUGCUAGUUGGUGGGGUAACGGCCUACCAAGGCAACGAUUCGUAGCUGACCUGAGAGGAUGAUCAGCCACACUGGAACUGAGACACGGUCCAGACUCCUACGGGAGGCAGCAGUGGGGAAUAUUGGACAAUGGGCGAAAGCCUGAUCCAGCAAUGCCGCGUGAGUGAAGAAGGUCUUCGGAUUGUAAAGCCCUUUUAUUAGGGAAGAAAACAUGCAUGCUAAUACCUUGAGGUCAUGACGGUACCCAAAGAAUAAGCACCGGCUAACUUCGUG
rnacentral:rRNA from 1 species